UACGUAGGUGGCAAGCGUUGUCCGGAUUUAUUGGGUUUAAAGGGUGCGUAGGCGGCCCUGUAAGUCAGUGCUGAAAUAUCCCGGCUUAACCGGGAGGGUGGCAUUGAUACUGCGGGCUAGAGUACAGAUGAGGUAGGCGGAAUUGACGGUGUAGCGGUGAAAUGCUUAGAUAUCGUCAAGAACACCUAUAGCGAAGGCAGCUUACUAGGCUGUAACUGACGCUGAGGCACGAAAGUGUGGGGAUCAAACAGG
rnacentral:rRNA from 1 species